GAACGAGAAAGUGGAGCAAUCCAUGAGUAAAGUGGCGACCGGGUGAGUAACACGUGACUAACCUGCCCUUGAGUGGGGGAUAACCUCGGGAAACCGGGGCUAAUACCGCAUAACAUCGCAAGAUCAAAGGAGCAAUCCGCUGAAGGAGGGGGUCGCGGCUGAUUAGUUAGUUGGUGAGGUAACGGCUCACCAAGACGAAGAUCAGUAGCCGGCCUGAGAGGGCGCACGGCCACACUGGAACUGAAACACGGUCCAGGCUCCUACGGGAGGCAGCAGUGGGGAAUUUUGCGCAAUGGGGGAAACCCUGACGCAGCAACGCCGCGUGGAGGAUGAAGUCCCUUGGGAUGUAAACUCCUUUCGAUCGGGACGAUUAUGACGGUACCGGAAGAAGAAGCACCGGCUAACUCUGUG
rnacentral:rRNA from 1 species